AUUGAACGCUGGCGGCAUGCUUUACACAUGUAAGUCGAACGGCAGCGCGGGCUUCGGCCUGGCGUCGAGUGGCGACCGGGUGAGUAAUAAAUCGGAACGUACCCAAGCGUGGGGGACAACGUAGCGACAGCUACGCUAAUACCGCAUACGACCCCAGGAUGCAAGCAGGGCACCGCAAGGCCUCGUGAUCCCGGAGCGGCCCAUAUCUGAUUAGCUAGUUGGUGAGGUAAAGGCUCACCAAGGCAACGAUCAGUAGCUGGUCUGAGAGGACGGCCAGCCACACUGGAACUGAGACACGGUGCAGACUCCUACGUGAGGCAGCAGUGGGGAAUUUUGGACAAUGGGGGCAACCCUGAUCCAGCAAUGCCGCGUGAGUGAAGAAGGCCUUCGGGUUGUAAAGCUCUUUUGUCAGGGAAGAAAAGGGAGUGGCUAAUAUCCAUUCCUGCUGACGGUACCUGAAGAAUAAGCACCGGCUAACUACGUGCCAGCAGCCGCGGUAACAC
rnacentral:rRNA from 1 species